UCUGGGGGAUGCCAUGAACUCAACUUGAUAGAGAAAGUGAUAGGAAAAAGUGGUGAAGAAAAUGCAAGGAAAUAACACUUUAUUUAUAGGAAAAAAUUUAGGUUGUACACCAAUGUACUUAACCCUAAUUAGUGUCGCACUUGAUUAAUUAGUCUUAGGGAGAAUUAGGGUUUGAAUUAGGUCAUAACUACCAAACUCUAAU
rnacentral:lncRNA from 1 species